rnacentral:tRNA from 1 species
AAAGGGGUGGCUAAAUGGUUAAGCUGUUCGCUUUGUAAGCGGAUGGCUCUGGGUUCGAAUGUCAUCUGCUCCUAUC